rnacentral:rRNA from 1 species
UACAGAGGUGGCAAGCGUUGUUCGGAAUUACUGGGCGUAAAGGGCUCGUAGGCGGUUUGUCGCGUCGGGAGUGAAAAUCACUGGGCUUAACCGAGUGCUUGCUUUCGAUACGGGCAGACUUGAGGCAUUCAGGGGAGAACGGAAUUCCUGGUGUAGCGGUGAAAUGCGCAGAUAUCAGGAGGAACACCGGUGGCGAAGGCGGUUCUCUGGGAAUGUUCUGACGCUGAGGAGCGAAAGUGUGGGGAGCGAACAGG